AUCGUUACCCGAGCCCAGCGCCGGGCCAAUGUCCUAUCUCAGGGUUUCCCACGUCGCUCGCUCCUUGACGGCUGACCGACACUGGGUCUGAGGUGUAAGCGCUUUCCAGGCCCUUCCCUGGGGCUUGGAGGGGAAUGGCGCAAAGGACUUUUCUUACAAGCAGAGCCACUGCAGUUACCAAAGAGUAUGUCGCUUAUUGUCUAAGAGGUUGGACUCCUGAAAGCCUGGACAGUGUCAUCAUCUUCACCUGAAGAGUGGAAAAAUUCAAGCAAAGAGUUUCUCAGGAAAUGACCAAGUAAAACAUCUGGAGUAAGUCAGCAGGAUUCACAGUGACUCCCCCCAACCAGCUGGUGGUGUUUCUCUCUGAAAGCAGCGCUUGGUACCAGUGUGAACUCUCUUCCUUCAGAAGUCUCAUCAGGUGUUUCAGAUGAGUUCUCCGGAAUUUGGACCUCCUACUCUUGGGUUGAAGGUGGACGUAAUACGAGGGUCUGGUCCCCCAUACCUUGAGGACUCCGCUGCCAUCUGACAAUUACAGACAAUCCAAUUGUCCUCAUCCUUGAGGACUCUGCUGCCAUCUGACAAUUAGAGACAGUCCAAAACAUGCCACACUUUGAUCCUAAACACAUUCCUGGCUUUGGUCACUUUUGAAAAGUUCCUGAGUUAUGAGAAAUCAAUAAUAAGAGUGUUCAAAACCUGAACACUCUUUUUAGAAAUACCUGCUGGAACUACAUAUAUGAUUUAUGGGGUACUGUCUUGUAGUAUCUGGGAAAGUAGACCCAUCUAACCUGGAAUGAUCAUAGGCAACAAUGACCAAAAAUGGGGAUCUUUUGAUAUACCUAAAGUAAUUUAUUUGUGCACACCAUUGGAAAGAGCUGGUUUUAGAACCAGACAUGUAAAUAAGAGACUGACUUCCACUGGCACCUAAAAACUUCUAAAAGAAAUCCUGAAAGAAAAAGUCACCUUCAUUCAAGAGACCAUUUGGGCCUUCAUGAGUAACCAGCUGAGAAGCUGAGAUCAGAUAGAAAUGUGAGUUGUACUUUACUUGUGGCUAGUGAAACUUCCCUUUCUUUGAGCUGUCUUUGGGAUGAUUCUUGAUCUUGUGAGGACUGUGUUGCACCUCCUUUGGAGAUGCCCCAUGCAUCCUUGGUUAAGUCAUAACCUUGAUAAAGGCUUAUUGGUUUUGGUGAGUCAUUUGGAAGGGUACCUUUGUUUUUUGUUUGUUUGUUUGUUUUUUAAAGUUCAAAAGCCAGGAAUAACAGCUAUUUGUGCUGGCUAAUACUUGAUAAUGAGAGAUUUGAAAAGUUUUUAUUUUUUUUAAAUUUUACUUUAAAUUCUGCGAUACAUGUGCAGAAUGUACAGGUUUGUUACAUAGAUAUACUUGUGCCAUGGUGGUGUGCUACACUUACCAACUGUCAUCUAGGUUUUAAGCCCCACGUGCAUUAGGUAUUUGUCCUAAUGUUCUCCCUUCCCUUGGCCCCACCCCGACUGGCCCCGGUGUUUAAUGUUCUUCUUGUGUCCAUCUAUUCUCAUUGUUCAUCUCCCACUUAUUAGUGAGAACAUGUGGUGUUUGGUUUUCUGUUCCUGUGUUAAUUUGCUGAGAAUGAUGGCUUCCAGCGUCAUCCAUGUCCCUGGAAAGGACAUGAACUCUUUUUUUAUAGCUGCAUAGUAUUCCAUGGUGUUUAUGUGCCACAUUUUCUUUUUCCAGCUUGUCAUUGAUGGGCAUUUGGGUUGGUUCCAAGUCUUUGCUAUUGUAAAGUGCUGCGGCAAACACACAUGUGCAUGUGUCUUUAUACCAGAAUGAUUUAUAACCCUUUUGGUGUAUAUCCAGUAAUGGGAUUGCUGGGUCAAAUGGUGUUUCUGGUUCUAGAUGCUUGAGGAAUCACCACACUGUCUUCCACAAUGGUUGGAUUAAUUUACACUCUCACCAACAAGUGUAAAAGCAUUCCUGUUUCUCCACAGCAUUGCCAGCAUCUGUUGUUUCCUGACUUUUUAAUAAUUGCCAUUCUAACUGGUAUUAGAUAGUAUCUCACUGUGGUUUUGAGUUGCAUUUCUCUAAUGACCACUGAUGAUGAGCUAUUUUUCAUAUGUUUGUUGGCCACAUCAAUCUCUUCUUCUGGAAGUGUCUGUUCAUAUUCUUUGCCCACUUUUUGUUGGGGUUGUUUGUUUUUUUUCUUGAAAAUUUGUUUAAGUUCCUUGUAGAUUCUGGAUAUUAGACCUUUGACACAUGGGUAGAUUGCAAAAUUUUUCUCUCAUUCUGUAGGUUGCCUUUUCACUCUGGUGAUAGUUUCUUUUGCUGUGCAGAAACUCUUUAGUUUAAUUAGAUCCCAUUUGUCAAUUUUUGCUUUUGUUGCAAUUGCUUUUGGUGUUUUAGUCAUGAAGUCUUUGCCCAUGCCUAUGUCCUGAAUGGUAUUGCCUAGGUUUUCUUCUAGGGUUUUUAUGGCUUGGGGUUUUACAUUUAAGUCUUUAAUCUAUCUUGAGUUAAUUUUUGUAUAAGGUGUAAGGAGGGGGUCCAGUUUCUGUUUUCUGCAUAUGGCUAGCUAGUUUUCCCAGCACCAUUUAUUAAAUAGGGAAUUCUUUCCCCAUUGCUUGUUUUUGUCAGGUUUGUCAAAGAUCAGAUGGUUGUAGAUGUGUGGUGUUAUUUCUGAGGUCUCUGUUCUGUUCCAUUGGUCUAUGUAUCUGUUUUGGUACCAGUAUCAUGCUGUUUUGGUUACUGUAGCCUUGCAGUAUAGUUUGAGGUCAGGUAGCGUGCUGCCUCCAACUUUGUUAUUUUUGCUUAUGAUUGUCUUGGCUAUGCAGGCUCUUUCUUGGUUCCAUAUUAAAUUUAAAGUAGUUUUUUAUAAUUCUGCAAAGAAACUCAAUGGUAGCUUAAUGGGAGUAGCAUUGAAUCUAUAAAUUACUUUGGGCAGUAUGGCCAUUUUCAUGAUAUUGAUUCUUCCUAUCCAUGAGCAUGGAAUUUUUUUCCAUUUGUUUGAGUCCUCUCAUUUCCUUGAGCAGUGGUUUGUAGUUCUCCUUGAAAAGAUCCUUCACGUCCCUUGAAAAC
rnacentral:lncRNA from 1 species